ensembl:lncRNA
GGCAGUUGUACAGGGUUACCUUCAGCUUCUGGCCAUCUCCCUCCUCCCUGCAGCUUUUGUGUUGCCAUGCAUAAUUGUGCCUGUGGAAUUAGGCCAAAAAUGUCCUGUUGCUUUUUCCUCUCCUGCGUGUUCCAGCACACUUUGCUCCAGAACCAACCUGAUACAAUAGUUGAAAUGAAACCUAGAAACAGACAGGGAAGUACAUUAAGUUCAUUAAAAGCUUCUAAGGGAGGAUGCAGUUAUAGUGAAAGCUUUGAGUUUUUCUGAAUUCUUUUGUAUUCAGGAUUGUGCUUUCUUUACUAUGGUGCCUAUAUAUAUUGUAUCUUGUAAAAGAGCCCUGUCAAAUAUCUACUUAAUUUUAAGGGUUCUGCCCUUGUUAAACGAUGCUGUCUUUUCUUUCUUUUCUUUACAGUUGUAGGUUUUCUGCCUUUACCCAAAAUUCCUGACAUUCAUUCUGACUUUCAUCUUCAAUGUCUUUUAAAAUAGCUGCAUCAGCUGCUGCAUCGCUGAUGGGAAACCUUGGAUUCCUCUCGAGAGUUGUUACCGUGCUUGGAGAGGUUCCGCUUGUGCCUUUGCACAAUCAAACUGUUGAAAUACCACAAUACUUUGUCUCAGCAUCACUAGCUACAAGAAUGCUUGUAUUUUCUCGGAGGUACAGCUCUCCGGAGGGGAUUUUCAGGAUUUUCAUUGGAAGAGUACAUAAGGCGUUUAAACCCUCUUGUGUUCCCAUCCUGGCUCCAAUCACCUCACAGUCCCCUGGCUCAUCUCUGUGGAUUUCAGGUGAGCUCCAGCACAGCCAGCAUGUCCUGUAGCCACCAGCUCAAGGCUCUCACUUGCAUCCCAACCCUCUCACCCUGGCCUGUCAUCCCACAACUUGUCAUUGCCAAUCCUGAU